rnacentral:rRNA from 1 species
AUACGUAGGUGGCGAGCGUUGUCCGGAUUUACUGGGUGUAAAGGGAGCGCAGGCGGGACAGCAAGUUGGAUGUGAAAUACCGAGGCUUAACCUCGGAGCUGCAUCCAAAACUGCCGUUCUUGAGUGAAGUAGAGGUAGGCGGAAUUCCGAGUGUAGCGGUGAAAUGCGUAGAUAUUCGGAGGAACACCGGUGGCGAAGGCGGCCUACUGGGCUUUAACUGACGCUGAGGCUCGAAAGUGUGGGGAGC